rnacentral:rRNA from 1 species
GACGAACGCUGGCGGCGUGCCUAAUACAUGCAAGUUGAGCGCUGAAGGUUGGUACUUGUACCAACUGGAUGAGCAGCGAACGGGUGAGUAACGCGUGGGGAAUCUGCCUUUGAGCGGGGGACAACAUUUGGAAACGAAUGCUAAUACCGCAUAAAAACUUUAAACACAAGUUUUAAGUUUGAAAGAUGCAAUUGCAUCACUCAAAGAUGAUCCCGCGUUGUUUUAGCUAGUUGGUGAGGUAAAGGCUCACCAAGGCGAUGAUACAUAGCCGACCUGAGAGGGUGGUCGGCCACAUUGGGACUGAGACACGGCCCAAACGCCUACGGGAGGCAGCAGUAGGGAAUCGUCGGCAAGGGACGAAAGUCUGACCGAGCAACGCCGCGUGAGUGAAGAAGGUUUUCGGAUCGUAAAACUCGGUUGGUAGAGAAGAACGUUGGUGAGAGUGUAAAGCUCAUCAAGUGACGGUAACUACCCAGAAAGGGACGGCUAACUACGUG